UCUCUGGGCUCUGCCAGGGGGCACAGUGUUCCUGGUGCAGAAGGGGCAGCUCCCAUCAGAGCAGGGGGCUAGGUACCAACUUUCCUUCUCCCAUGGUGCCAAGAAGAUGGGUAAGGCCUGCGGAACUCUCCACUUGUGCAAGGUGAGCCUGCAGGAUUUCAUUGGCUACCUGAGGUCGAGGCGGCUCUCUAUGGCAUUGCUCCCUUCCUUUCCUGUGGGUUACAUUGCCAUCCCACUAAGCACAUCCUGAAGGAAGCUCUUCUCUGAGCCCUCCUCAGCAUGCAGGCGACAAGUCACGUGCUGUUCCAGCACCCCCAGGCAUAUGUGGCAGGUCCUGGAUGUCAUGGAGAGAAGGCACCCCUCCAAGGGAAAGACCAGUCUUAUGAUACUGCAAUAAGGAUCCAAGUCCAAGGAGGAUUCCAGGACCAAGGACUGCACUGGCCAACUGGUUUACUUUGUAAAAAUUGUGUUAUUGUGUUUAAGGGCACAUCUCUCCACAAGGAAGCCAGGUUCUAUCUGAGGGGUGAGGCUACAUGAAAAGAUGUCUGCCUAUGAGGAAAAUUCCCAGUACUUGAUCUUGGACUUCUCAUCCUCUAGAAAUACCUGCACCAUGUCCUCCCAUAAAUAAGUGACACGGCUUCCUUGUGGAAUGUCCUACACAGACAGCACACCUUCCUGCGACAGGAAGAGAACUGGGGCAGCGCACAAGGGAGAGAGUUUUGUCUUUUCAGAAUGUCAUACAGUUGGAAUCAUACAGUAUGCAGCCUGGACACAGGUGAACCCAGAGCACAGGAAACAGGUCAUUCCAGCAGAUGAACCAGUGAGUACAAAUCCCUUCUGCUCUACCCAGUGAUGUAAGCUUCACAAGGCCCUCAACCUGUCAGCCAGCCUGGAGAAAAGAGGCAAGGCUAGAAUUCCUAUUUCUCCAGGGAGGAAAUUCUGGUUCCGAGAGGCCCAGAGAGUCUCCUACAGUCCUCUGGAAGGUGAAGAGAACCAGGAUCUCUUUCUGCAUAAGCCCAGAGAGGGACCUAGGUUCCCAAGAGCUCCUCAAUGAAAGGAGAGACCCAGGCUUGCACUCAGGAUUGAGACGGGUGAAACAAGGGACUCUCACCCAGAGCCAGGCACAGCAGGUCCUGACCUAGAAACAUCUGUCUCUCGCUGGAGGUCCUGGGACAUGCAAACCUCCUCCAUCCUAGUUAAUCCUUAACAGGAAUUUAUUAGAUCGAAUUCCAAAGUGGAUGAUCCAAGCUAAACAAAACUAGAGCCUGCAUGGAAUACUUGCAAAUUUAGAUGCUUCUCCACACUAGCUUAUAAUUUGCAAGUUGCAUUAAGAAUUGUGUAAGAAUUGCUUUAACAUUCAUUGUGAUUUUUCUGUUUGUUUUAUGAGUUCUUUCACUUAUAAAGGGAGAGCUCAGUCCCGAUGACUGCUUCCUGGCUGGGAGCAGCAGGCUGUUGGGCAGCAAACCUGGGUGGGCAGCUAGAGGGCUGCCACUGCACCAGCUUUAAUCUGGGGAGCAAUUUUUGGGUGUUGAGGAAUGGUAUACAUAAAAUAUACUCAACUAUGAAAAUGAAAUUCACUGACAGUAAGAAUAUUUACCAAUGACUACGAAAAUUAUAAGGCGACUGUUGUGCAAUUAUAACUGUCUGAUUACUUGUUCACUGCUGUACCUAGACUAUAAGAUACUUUCUGAUGUUUUUUUUUCACAUAUUUUUGUCUCUAAAAUUAUUUGGUGAAUUAAAUUAUUAAAUGCAAUUGAUGACCGAAAUGACUCAUCUGGAUAAAUUUUGGUUUCACCUUAAAUCCGUCUUGUAACACAACAGAAAAGUAUGUAAAUGAAUGGGUUGACUGAAUAAAUAAAUGAUGCAAACAGUGAGACAAAUAAGAAACAAA